rnacentral:rRNA from 1 species
CCUACGGGUGGCAGCAGUGAGGAAUAUUGGUCAAUGGACGCGAGUCUGAAGCAGCAACGUAGCGUGAAGGAUGACUGCCCUCUGGGUUGUAAACUUCUUUUAUAUCGGGAUAAAACAUGGUAUCCAUACCCUCUUGUUUGUCCCAUAUGAUUACGGAUCGGCUAACUCUGUGCCAGCAGCCGCGGUUAUCCGGAGGGUCUGAGCGUUAUCCGGUUUUUUUGGGUUUAAAUGGAGCGUAGGUGGAGUGUUAAGUCAGUUGUGAAUGUUGGCGGCCAAACCGUAAUAUUGCCGGUGAAACUGGUAGGCUUGAGUACGGUAGAGGUGGGUGGAAUUCGUGGUGUAGCAGUGAAAUGCGUAGAUAUCACGAAGAACUCCGAUUGCGAAGGCAGCUCACUGGACUGGAACUGACACUGAUGCUCGAAAGUGUGGGUAUCAAACAGGAUUAGAUACCCGUGUAGUC